rnacentral:tmRNA from 1 species
GGGGGUGCACCGGUUUCGACGGGGUCGAUGAGGCGCACACUGCGAGCAGAGGAUUCUCGUUGGCCUCUAUAAAAACGAGAAAUUUAAAAUUAAACGCUAACGAUAACGUAGCACUCCAGGCUGCCUAAGCGCGCCUGCGUUCCCCACAGGGUCACCCGGGCCUUGUUGGUGUGAGCGUCAGUAAUCCGGGCCUUGCGCAGGGGCAGGUAAAAUGCGCCAACGCGAAAGUCAAAGCUUUGCGGCUUUCGUGUAUUCAUGAAGCUACUUUUCGGAAAACUCCGUUUGUUGAGGUUUUCGGAAGGGAACUUUAAAUAGCAAACUACGCUCGUAGACGUGGGCGAGGAAUCGGUUUCGGACGUGGGUUCGACUCCCUCCACCUCCACCA